rnacentral:rRNA from 1 species
GAUGAACGCUGGCGGCGUGCCUAAUACAUGCAAGUCGAGCGAACGGACGAGAAGCUUGCUUCUCUGAUGUUAGCGGCGGACGGGUGAGUAACACGUGGAUAACCUACCUAUAAGACUGGGAUAACUUCGGGAAACCGGAGCUAAUACCGGAUAAUAUUUUGAACCGCAUGGUUCAAAAGUGAAAGACGGUCUUGCUGUCACUUAUAGAUGGAUCCGCGCUGCAUUAGCUAGUUGGUAAGGUAACGGCUUACCAAGGCAACGAUGCAUAGCCGACCUGAGAGGGUGAUCGGCCACACUAGAACUGAGACACGGUCCAGACUCCUGCGGGAGGCAGCAGUAGAGAAUCUUCCGCAAUGGGCGAAAGCCUGACGGAGCAACGCCGCGUCAGUGAUGAAGGUCUUCGGAUCGUAAAACUCUGUUAUUAGGGAAGAACAUAUGUGUAAGUAACUGUGCACAUCUUGACGGUACCUAAUCAGAAAGCCACGGCUAACUACGUG